GACACUUUGGCGGAGUGGUUAACGCGCUGCCCUGCUAUCGGUUGAUAUUCAUCCAAAGCUGCCUAGGCAGUCUCCUCGGAGGCGCAGGUUCGAAUCCUGCAGUGAGUCU